rnacentral:rRNA from 1 species
UGCAAGUCGAACGGUAACAGCACUUCGGUGGCUGACGAGUGGCGAACGGGUGAGUAAUACAUCGGAACGUGCCCGAGAGUGGGGGAUAACGCAGCGAAAGCUGUGCUAAUACCGCAUACGAUCUACGGAUGAAAGCAGGGGACCGCAAGGCCUUGCGCUCAUGGAGCGGCCGAUGGCAGAUUAGGUAGUUGGUGGGAUAAAAGCUUACCAAGCCGACGAUCUGUAGCUGGUCUGAGAGGACGACCAGCCACACUGGGACUGAGACACGGCCCAGACUCCUACGGGAGGCAGCAGUGGGGAAUUUUGGACAAUGGGCGAAAGCCUGAUCCAGCCAUGCCGCGUGCAGGAUGAAGGCCUUCGGGUUGUAAACUGCUUUUGUACGGAACGAAAAGGUCUUUUCUAAUAAAGAAGGCUCAUGACGGUACCGUAAGAAUAAGCACCGGCUAACUACGUGCCAGCAGCCGCGGUAAUACGUAGGGUGCAAGCGUUAAUCGGAAUUACUGGGCGUAAAGCGUGCGCAGGCGGUUAUAUAAGACAGAUGUGAAAUCCCCGGGCUCAACCUGGGAACUGCAUUA